rnacentral:rRNA from 1 species
CAGGACGAACGCUGGCGGCGUGCCUAAUACAUGCAAGUCGAGCGGACAGAUGGGAGCUUGCUCCCUGAUGUUAGCGGCGGACGGGUGAGUAACACGUGGGUAACCUGCCUGUAAGACUGGGAUAACUCCGGGAAACCGGGGCUAAUACCGGAUGCUUGUUUGAACCGCAUGGUUCAAACAUAAAAGGUGGCUUCGGCUACCACUUACAGAUGGACCCGCGGCGCAUUAGCUAGUUGGUGAGGUAAUGGCUCACCAAGGCAACGAUGCGUAGCCGACCUGAGAGGGUGAUCGGCCACACUGGGACUGAGACACGGCCCAGACUCCUACGGGAGGCAGCAGUAGGGAAUCUUCCGCAAUGGACGAAAGUCUGACGGAGCAACGCCGCGUGAGUGAUGAAGGUUUUCGGAUCGUAAAGCUCUGUUGUUAGGGAAGAACAAGUACCGUUCGAAUAGGGCGGUACCUUGACGGUACCUAACCAGAAAGCCACGGCUAACUACGUGCCAGCAGCCGCGGUAAUACGUAGGUGGCAAGCGUUGUCCGGAAUUAUUGGGCGUAAAGGGCUCGCAGGCGGUUUCUUAAGUCUGAUGUGAAAGCCCCCGGCUCAACCGGGGAGGGUCAUUGGAAACUGGGGAACUUGAGUGCAGAAGAGGAGAGUGGAAUUCCACGUGUAGCGGUGAAAUGCGUAGAGAUGUGGAGGAACACCAGUGGCGAAGGCGACUCUCUGGUCUGUAACUGACGCUGAGGAGCGAAAGCGUGGGGAGCGAACAGGAUUAGAUACCCUGGUAGUCCACGCCGUAAACGAUGAGUGCUAAGUGUUAGGGGGUUUCCGCCCCUUAGUGCUGCAGCUAACGCAUUAAGCACUCCGCCUGGGGAGUACGGUCGCAAGACUGAAACUCAAAGGAAUUGACGGGGGCCCGCACAAGCGGUGGAGCAUGUGGUUUAAUUCGAAGCAACGCGAAGAACCUUACCAGGUCUUGACAUCCUCUGACAAUCCUAGAGAUAGGACGUCCCCUUCGGGGGCAGAGUGACAGGUGGUGCAUGGUUGUCGUCAGCUCGUGUCGUGAGAUGUUGGGUUAAGUCCCGCAACGAGCGCAACCCUUGAUCUUAGUUGCCAGCAUUCAGUUGGGCACUCUAAGGUGACUGCCGGUGACAAACCGGAGGAAGGUGGGGAUGACGUCAAAUCAUCAUGCCCCUUAUGACCUGGGCUACACACGUGCUACAAUGGACAGAACAAAGGGCAGCGAAACCGCGAGGUUAAGCCAAUCCCACAAAUCUGUUCUCAGUUCGGAUCGCAGUCUGCAACUCGACUGCGUGAAGCUGGAAUCGCUAGUAAUCGCGGAUCAGCAUGCCGCGGGUGAAUACGUUCCCGGGCCUUGUACACACCGCCCGUCACACCACGAGAGUUUGUAACACCCGAAGUCGGUGAGGUAACCUUUUAGGAGCCAGCCGCCGAAGGUGGGACAGAUGAUUGGGGGUGAAGUCGUAACAAGGUAGCCGUAUCGGAAGG